GCCUGCGUGGCGGAACUGGUAGACGCUGCGGACUUAAAAUCCGUUUCUUUCGAGAGUCCCGGUUCGAUUCCGGGCGCGGGCACCA
rnacentral:tRNA from 1 species